AGGGAGAAGAGUUGGUGGAAGAAGAUUGGAAAAAAAUUAAAGUAUAUUUACAAAAACAUUGCAAAAUUAAUGAAUGUUAGAAGGAUGCUGGAAUGAAGCUAUAUGGUUUUAGCAGAAAUGUAAUAAAGAAUUAAGUAAAAGCUGAUUGAUAAUGGGCUAAAAUGAAAAAAUUUAAGGUUAGACCGUUAAGAUAAAUUAUAGAACAAAAAUUGAGAAAGAUGGAAAGAAUUUGCUGAAAUAGUGAAUUGAACUAGAAUACAAAAAAGGGAGGUGUGAGGAGGUCGAUGAAACAAGUAAAUGAAAGGUAAAGAUAUGGAAUACUGGAUAUGUUUUAGUGUUUUUGUUUUUGUUUUCUUUUUUUGUUGUAUUGUUUUUUUAUGUCUCUCUUUUUAUUUAUUGUAAUGUAUGUUCUGUUAAUUUUUUUAUUAUUUUCCUCUUCUCUUUUUUUGUAAUCUUUAAACUUAUAAUAAAUAUCAUU